rnacentral:lncRNA from 1 species
AUGAGAGCAGGGCUUCCAAAACGGUCAUAUAUUCCGGUCAUUUGUAUAAUGUCCGGUAAAAGUCCGGCUGGGCAAAGCAUGAAACGGUCAUAUACUUUUUAUUUUUCAAGGCUUUUUCGGUCAUUUUUACAUAAUUCACGAUCUUUUUGACCCAAUCUUUUGCCUUUAACAUCAACACAUUUCCGGUCAUAAAUGUGACAUGAUGAUUAAUUACUAUCAAAACAACACCUACUUCAAUACUUUCUAAUUUUAAUCAAGGCUAAUUAGAAGUUGAACAGCUGAAAUCUACCUGUUCAGGUGACAGGUGAACUAUGUUCAGUACCGGACAUCG